rnacentral:rRNA from 1 species
AGAGUUUGAUCCUGGCUCAGGAUGAACGCUAGCGAUAGGCUUAACACAUGCAAGUCGAGGGGCAGCAUUAUCUUAGCUUGCUAAGAUAGAUGGCGACCGGCGCACGGGUGCGUAACGCGUAUGCAACCUGCCUGUAAUUAGGGAAUAACCCGGUGAAAGUCGGACUAAUACCCUAUAUUCUUCUUUCUCCGCAUGGAGGAGGACGGAAAGAUUUAUUGAUUACAGAUGGGCAUGCGUCCCAUUAGCUGGUUGGUAAGGUAACGGCUUACCAAGGCAACGAUGGGUAGGGGGACUGAGAGGUUGACCCCCCACACUGGUACUGAGACACGGACCAGACUCCUACGGGAGGCAGCAGUGAGGAAUAUUGGUCAAUGGGCGAGAGCCUGAACCAGCCAAGUCGCGUGAAGGACGACGGUUCUAUGGAUUGUAAACUUCUUUUGUAGAGGAAUAAUGGCAGCUACGCGUAGCUGAGAUGCAUGUACUCUACGAAUAAGUAUCGGCUAACUCCGUGCCAGCAGCCGCGGUAAUACGGAGGAUACGAGCGUUAUCCGGAAUUAUUGGGUUUAAAGGGUGCGUAGGUGGCGUAUUAAGUCAGUGGUGAAAAGCUGCAGCUCAACUGUAGUCUUGCCGUUGAAACUGAUAUGCUAGAGAGGAGACGAGGUAUGCGGAAUGUGUGGUGUAGCGGUGAAAUGCAUAGAUAUCACACAGAACGCCGAUUGCGAAGGCAGCGUACCAGGCUCCGUCUGACACUGAAGCACGAAAGCGUGGGGAUCAAACAGGAUUAGAUACCCUGGUAGUCCACGCAGUAAACGAUGAAUACUAGAUUUUUGCGAUAUACUGUAAGAGUCUAAGCGAAAGCGAUAAGUAUUCCACCUGGGGAGUACGCCGGCAACGGUGAAACUCAAAGGAAUUGACGGGGGCCCG